UCUUUUUGCCAUUUUCCUCACUAUAAACAGAGUACUACUUUUUCGCCUAUUUUCCUCCAGCGUUUCGCCGACGUUUUUUUAUAUAGAGUUUUACAGCAUUCCACCUGAAAUACUAAACAGAAUACUCAGCUUUAGUGUGCGUAAUAAAAAAAUACAAAUAUGCAUUUAAAAACGAGAAAAAAAUUUGACUCGAUUACCCGGAACGCUUCCGAUUCCGACCUUCCCCGAUAAUCGUUUACAUUUUUGGUAUCACUAAAACUAAAUGUCAAGUGCUUGCGAUUCUCUCCAAAAUCUUAAAAGGAUGUUCUAUUUGAUCCGAUAUUCCUCACAUAAGCAACAAAACAAUGUUCUAAUGAUGAAAAUACAAAUAUAAAAUACAUUUGAAGAAGAUUAUUGUAAAUCAAA